rnacentral:rRNA from 1 species
UACGGAGGGAGCUAGCGUUGUUCGGAAUUACUGGGCGUAAAGCGCACGUAGGCGGCUUUGUAAGUUAGAGGUGAAAGCCCGGAGCUCAACUCCGGAAUUGCCUUUAAGACUGCAUCGCUUGAAUCCGGGAGAGGUGAGUGGAAUUCCGAGUGUAGAGGUGAAAUGCGCAGAUAUCAGGAGGAACACCAAUUGCGAAGGCGAGUCCCUGGACAACACCUGACACUGAGGCACGAAAGCUAGGGGAGCAAACAGG